rnacentral:rRNA from 1 species
GGUGCGGUCAGAGCCCUUCGGGGUACACGAGCGGCGAACGGGUGAGUAACACGUGGGUGAUCUGCCUCGUACUUCGGGAUAAGCCUGGGAAACUGGGUCUAAUACCGGAUAUGACCUUCGGAUGCAUGUCUGGGGGUGGAAAGAUUUAUCGGUACGAGAUGGGCCCGCGGCCUAUCAGCUUGUUGGUGGGGUAAUGGCCUACCAAGGCGACGACGGGUAGCCGGCCUGAGAGGGCGACCGGCCACACUGGGACUGAGACACGGCCCAGACUCCUACGGGAGGCAGCAGUGGGGAAUAUUGCACAAUGGGCGAAAGCCUGAUGCAGCGACGCCGCGUGAGGGAUGACGGCCUUCGGGUUGUAAACCUCUUUCGACAGGGACGAAGCGCAAGUGACGGUACCUGUAGAAGAAGCACCGGCCAACUACGUGCCAGCAGCCGCGGUAAUACGUAGGGUGCGAGCGUUGUCCGGAAUUACUGGGCGUAAAGAGCUUGUAGGCGGUUCGUCGCGUCGUUCGUGAAAACUUGGGGCUCAACCCCAAGCUUGCGGGCGAUACGGGCGGACUAGAGUACUUCAGGGGAGACUGGAAUUCCUGGUGUAGCGGUGAAAUGCGCAGAUAUCAGGAGGAACACCGGUGGCGAAGGCGGGUCUCUGGGGAAGUAACUGACGCUGAGAAGCGAAAGCGUGGGUAGCGAACAGGAUUAGAUACCCUGGGUAGUCCACGCCGUAAACGGUGGGGUACUAGGUGUGGGUUUU